AGUGGUUAAGCACUCAGCUUCUAAGUGAAAGAUUGGUGGUUCGAAUCCACCAGCCACUC
rnacentral:tRNA from 1 species